rnacentral:rRNA from 1 species
CCACGGUUUCUGCGACGUAGCAAACGCAUUAAGUGCCCCGCCUGGGGAGUACGAUCGCAAGAUUAAAACUCAAAGGAAUUGACGGGGGCCCGCACAAGCAGCGGAGCAUGCGGCUUAAUUCGACGCAACGCGAAGAACCUUACCAAGGCUUGACAUAUAGCGAAAAGUGGCAGAGAUGUCAUGUCCGCAAGGGCGCUAUACAGGUGGUGCAUGGUUGUCGUCAGCUCGUGUCGUGAGAUGUUGGGUUAAGUCCCGCAACGAGCGCAACCCUCGUUCUGUGUUGCCAGCAUUUAGUUGGGGACUCACAGGAGACUGCCGGGGUCAACUCGGAGGAAGGUGGGGAUGACGUCAAAUCAUCAUGCCCCUUAUGUCUUGGGCUGCACGCAUGCUACAAUGGCCGGUACAAAGGGCUGCGAAACCGCAAGGUGGAGCGAAUCCCAAAAAGCCGGUCUCAGUUCGGAUUGGGGUCUGCAACUCGACCCCAUGAAGUUGGAGUUGCUAGUAAUCGUAGAUCAGCAACGCUACGGUGAAUACGUUCCCGGGCCUUGUACACACCGCCCGUCACGUCACGAAAGUCGGUAACACCCGAAGUCAGUGGCCCAACCGCAAGGAGGGAGCUGCCGAA